rnacentral:rRNA from 1 species
GGCGGCGUGCCUAACACAUGCAAGCGUACGAGAAAGUUGGCUUCGGCCGAUGAGUAAAGUGGCGCACGGGUGAGUAACGCGUGGAUAAUCUGCCUUUUAGUUGGGAAUAACGUACCGAAAGGUGCGCUAAUACCGAAUAAUACUGAAUGACAUCAGUUGUUUAGUCAAAGAAGGCCUCUGCUUGCAAGCUUUUGCUGAAAGAUGAGUCCGCGUACCAUUAGCUAGUUGGUGGGGUAAUGGCCUACCAAGGCGACGAUGGUUAGCUGGUCUGAGAGGAUGAUCAGCCACACUGGAACUGAGACACGGUCCAGACUCCUACGGGAGGCAGCAGUGAGGAAUAUUGCGCAAUGGGGGCAACCCUGACGCAGCAACGCCGCGUGAGUGAGGAAGGUUUUCGGACCGUAAAGCUCUGUCGAGCGGGAAGAAAUGUAUGGUGGCUAAUAUCCAUCAUGCUUGACGGUACCGCUAAAGGAAGCACCGGCUAACUCCGUG